AACGAACGCUGGCGGCAUGCCUAACACAUGCAAGUCGAACGAGACCUUCGGGACUAGUCGCGCACGGGUGCGUAACGCGUGGGAACCUGCCCUUAGGUUCGGAAUAACUCCCCGAAAGGGGUGCUAAUACCGGAUAAUGUCCUCGGACCAAAGAUUUAUCGCCUUUGGAUGGGCCCGCGUUGGAUUAGCUAGUUGGUAGGGUAAAAGCCUACCAAGGCGACGAUCCAUAGCUGGUCUGAGAGGAUGAUCAGCCACACUGGAACUGAGACACGGCCCAGACUCCUACGGGAGGCAGCAGUGGGGAAUAUUGGACAAUGGGCGAAAGCCUGAUCCAGCGAUGCCGCGUGAGUGAUGAAGGCCUUAGAGUUGUAAAGCUCUUUUACCCGGGAUGAUAAUGACGGUACCGGGAGAAUAAGCGCCGGCUAACUCCGUG
rnacentral:rRNA from 1 species